AUGAACGUUGGCGGUGUGCCUAAUACAUGCAAGUCGAACGAAGAUGAUAGCAAUAUUGUCUUAGUGGCGAACGGGUGAGUAACGCGUUGGUGACCUGCCCCGAAGUGUGGAAUAACAAUUCGAAAGAAUUGCUAAUACCGCAUGUGAUCUUGGAGAUUAGAACCUCUUUGAUUAAAGGAUUUAUUCGCUUCGGGAGGGGCCUGCGUCCCAUCAGCUAGUUGGUAGGGUAAUGGCCUACCAAGGCUUUGACGGGUAGGGGACCUGAGAGGGUGGCCCCCCACAAUGGAACUGAAACACGGUCCAUACACCUACGGGUGGCAGCAGUAGGGAAUAUUAGUAAUGGGCGAAAGCCUGACCGAGCGACACCGCGUGAGGGAUGAAGUAUUUCGGUAUGUAAACCUCUUUUAUAUAGUCGUCGAGGCUAUAAGAAUAAGCACCUACAAACUACGU
rnacentral:rRNA from 1 species